rnacentral:lncRNA from 1 species
AGGCUGGUGAGCCAGGCAGAAGUCAGAGUGGGAGGAGCCUUGAGGUCUCUCCAGGAGAUUCAGGGACCAUAGGAUUUGGUAGUGAUUCAGGUAUAGAGUGAAAAGAUGACAGUGGCCAUAUCCAGGGUAAUGUCUACGGGAAUUUGUGAAUAUCCAGGUAUCCAGAUAAGAGAGGAUGAUGGCCCUAACUCGAGUACCAAAAUUGGAUUUCCUCAGGGUCUGGCUGAGGUGAGAAAUGAUUGAGUCUUGUCUUGGUGUCCUGUAGAGAGAAAUGCUGUCUUCUGGGACCACCGCCCUGAGCUUGGGGGCCCCCACUAGCAUUCAGGUUCCCGGGAGAAAAUCCUGAAGAACGGGGGUCAUGAGCAGGGGACGUGUCUGCUAUCUGGGUAAGUGAUUGUGUGCACCAUAAACUUACCACGGACAACCUGAUCUUCACGUUUGUAGGUCAGUGAGGUUCCUUUCCCUGAACAGUUUACCAUGUGAUGCGUUUAUGGGUAUUCCGGUAAGAAAGGGUAGUGGCUCCUCGUUCUCCUUGCCAUGUAAUCCUAUUGUUUUCUGUCUUGGAGAGAACGUAUGAGGUAAGUACCCUGUGAGUGCUGAUGGAUUGGCACGUAACCAGGGAACUCCAGUGGCACUGUGCAUCACAGGAGUAACUAAGGUGGAUGUGCAGAGAAGACGGCCAGAGAAAAUGAAGUGUCCUAUGAUGUCCUACCCCUUGGAGCAACCACAAGCAUCCAGGAGUCAAGGGAACCCUCAUUAUGCUCGAGCAGGGGCACUCUGCCCAUAUCCAGAGAGGAGACAGUAUGGGCGUAAGCAGGCCAUGGACGAUCCAGUCUUCCGAUACACAGGAUAAUGUGCAUUGAACCUGAGUCCGUGUUGACUGUGGUAGAUGCGGGUGUCCAGGUAUGCCAAGUGGCAUCCCGGAAAACACCUGUCAGAUGCGUUUCUUCUGCUGCUGCUAGUCAUGAGAUCAAGGUUCCUGCUAUGACAUCACAGUGAAUCCAACAUGGGUCCCUAUCAGGAAGCAGGGCUGCUCUGCAGGUCAAGGCUGCAUGAGGACCCAAAGCAACACAUGGGCCACUUGAAGUUCAGGUGUAUAGGGACAAUGUCUAACCCAGUGAGCACAGUGGGACUGCAAAUACCAGGUAAUGAUUUUUCCAGGGUCCCACAAGGAAAUCCCGAUAAACAGGAGUCAGGAUCAGGGAACACGUCUGCUAUCUGGGUUCAGGCAGGCAGAAGUCAGAGCAUGAGGACAACAUUGAGGUCUCUCCAGGCGAUUUAUGGACUCUCGGAUUUGGUAGUGAUUCAGGUUUUUUUCUUUUUUUGAGAGUCUGGCUGAGGUAUUGCUGAUGCACGCAUAAACCACAGCAUGCACCAUGGGACUGUCCCAGGGACCUGGUUCACUGAUGAGAUGUCCCCACACGUCUUCCCGCCGUGAUUUCUUUCACAGGAUGUCUACAGGUGAACAGUCGAGAAACGGUGGUUUUCUGCUAUCAGGGUCGACCUGAGAUUACUGCAAGUAUCCAGGUCGAGUGGGUUGACCAAAAUGGAUCCUACAGUAUAAUCACACAGGAUAAUGUUGGAAAGUAUGAACUGUGGCCCGGCAGAUCUGACUGUUGUUGCUGCUGCUUCUGUUCCUGCUGAUGCUUUUCAAAAUAGUCUUCUUUUAUUUUCUUCGGCUGUUCUGAAGCAGGAGUUACACAUGAUGUCUUUGGAAGAUCUUGCGAUGUGUUUCCGGAACUACCUUGCAUGCUUAACUCAAUAGUACUGCGGAGAUGUUCAUCUUCUCUAUUGGUUUCUUGGCGGCUUAGUUCAAGGGCCCUCUGAAAAUCCUCCUCAUCUUGGUCUGAUGUUCCAGACUCAUCACUUUCUUCUGAUACUUUUUCAAGGACUGUUUUAUAGACUCUAUGCUCUUUUUGUUUUACUAAUUUUUUUCCAUUAAGUUUUGGUGUAUCCAUCUCUUCGACACUGAUGAUCUGCAGGAGUUGGUCAGCUUCACAGUCUGGCAGAUCACCCUUGACAACAAAUACAGAAUAUGCUUGUUGUUGUAAUCGAGCCAAGAAAUUUGCAAGGAUCAAUGCCGAGCUUCUGAUAUUCAGGAUUAUUGAAAUGGAUGAUCUCUAAACCCCAGAACUUCAAGGCAUUGCUUAUUACCUGAAUGGAGAAGAAACCGGUAUCAUCCAUGUUUUCUGAAGGCUGCUGUAAAAAUGCAAGAUACUCUUCACUGGUGACUCCUCCUUCUGCCAUUCUCAUCCUCUCUUCUUCAUCUAGCUGAUGUGCAAUUGAGGCUAAUUCCACAGGGCUAAAAUAUUCUCCUUGCAAUAGAUUGUUCAGACAGUGCUGAGCACACAGGAAACCUUCCUGUUUCUCAUGAAAGAUGAAAUCCAU